rnacentral:rRNA from 1 species
AUUGAACGCUGGCGGCAGGCCUAACACAUGCAAGUCGAACGAGUGGCGGACGGGUGAGUAAUGUCUGGGAAACUGCCUGAUGGAGGGGGAUAACUACUGGAAACGGUAGCUAAUACCGCAUACCAUCGGAUGUGCCCAGAUGGGAUUAGCUAGUAGGUGGGGUAACGGCGCACCUAGGCGACGAUCCCUAGCUGGUCUGAGAGGAUGACCAGCCAAACUUGAACUGAGACACGGGCCAGACUCCUACGUGAGGGAGCAGUGGGGAAGAUUGCACAAUGGGCGCAAGCCUGAUGCAGCCAUGCCGCGUGGAUGAAGAAGGCCGUCGGGUUGUAAAGUACUUUCAGCGGGGAGGCGUUACCCUCAGAAGAUGCACCGGCUAACUCCGUGCCAGCCGCCGCGGUAAUUC